rnacentral:rRNA from 1 species
UACGGGGGGAGCAAGCGUUGUUCGGAUUUACUGGGCGUAAAGGGCGCGUAGGCGGCCUGUUAAGUCGAACGUGAAAUCCCCGGGCUCAACCCGGGAACUGCGUCCGAUACCGGCAGGCUUGAAUUCGGGAGAGGGAUGCGGAAUUCCAGGUGUAGCGGUGAAAUGCGUAGAUAUCUGGAGGAACACCGGUGGCGAAGGCGGCAUCCUGGACCGAGAUUGACGCUGAGGCGCGAAAGCCAGGGGAGCAAACGGG